rnacentral:lncRNA from 1 species
CGCCUCACGGGAGCGAGCGUGGUCGAGUUAGCGGCGCUCCUCCCCGUGCCAAAGGGAGCUGCUUUGCUCUGAGUCCGCAUUUGCGAGGACGACGAGGACGACGAGGACGACGAGGACGACGAGGAAGGGGCCGGCCGGAGGACGCUCGCGCGUUCACGCGUCUCCAGGGCGCGCGCAGAGCCGUGCGUCACUGCCACCGCACAGCGCCCGCCCGAGCCGCGCGUCGCCGCGGCAACGGCUUCUCCCCUCCUCCUCGCGGCUCCUCCUCUGCCUCUGCCUCUGCCUCUGCCUCUGCCUCUGCCUCUGAUUCCCUCUGCCUCCCCCCCCACUCGGCCUAUCACUAGCUAGCUGGUAGAAGGGGCCGACCCCCAUCUGGCUACAACUUCCAUACAGAAAGCUAUAGCACAACUAACUAAAAUGAAUUUCUUUGUCAGCGCAUACACAGAUAACAUUAUGGAGGAUUUGAAGCAGCAAGUACCAGAAUAAAUUAUAUGGUAUGGGAGGGUUGCUAUUCAAGCUGGAUGAAAAGUACAAAUGUUUCUAACGCAUUUCUGCUUCUGGUAUUUCCUAGAUUCUGUUUCUAUAGAAUUCUGUUUCGUGAAGAAAAGACAGAGAAAAUAUAUUCACAAGAGCGCAUGAAAGAAAGUGCCAUUUUAACAAUGAGUGAGAAAGUAUGUGCUUUUUCGAAAGGAUGUUAUGCUGUGGAGAUUCUGUGAUUUUCCUGCUGAAAGUGAUAUGCUGCCUGUAAUACCUCAUAUCUAUACAUAUCUGUACAUAUCUGUACACAUACAGAAACUUGGAAACAGUUUUCUAAACCAUUUUAAAAACCUUCCAGAGGAAAAGUUUCGGUGGGUUUUGAAUCUGUUUGUUAAAGAUGUUAAAAUGCAAUACUGUCCAGUUAGUAGAAGUGAAUAGCAUUUGAAGUGCUACAGCACACCACUGUUAUGUGAUCGCUUUCCUUUUUUAAUCUAUGAGGUGUGUACCUUCCUUUAAUAAAAACAAAACGAAACUGUUUUCAUGCAUGAAACUUACUUCUCAAGGUUUGACUAGAUGAUCUUGGAGCUCUUUCCCAACCUUGGUGGUUCCAUGAUUCUAGGAUCUGUGCUGUAAGUGUAGUGAUGCAUGUGAUGUGACAUGGUGGGAUUCUGAGCUUAACAAAAUAAUAUGCUUAUUUUGAUAUGCCGUUUCAAUUAACACCUUAUACAGAAUCAUAGAAUUAUGAAGGUUGGAAAGACCAUUAGAGCAGCUAGUCUAACCGUCAACCCACCGAAUCAUGUCAAUAGCAUAUCAAUGUGUUCAUAUAAGAAUGAAGCAGCCAGGUACUUUCCCACAAGUCAGGUACAACAUGGGAGCAUCUUGUAAGGGCUUAAGUGUCAAUGACGUUUUUUUUUAUUCCUGGUUCUUGCUUUGCUUUGGCUUUUCCUCUACUUAAUGAAGAAAGGGCAUGGGAUCACAACGGACAAUCUAAUAAACACAAGAAUGUAGUAAGGUGAUGUCAUCCUCAUAGUUUAUGCAUCCACGGAGAGCUGAAUGGAAAUAUGAGGAAAGUACGGGGGAAUGGGUAUUACUUUUGUAUGCGUCCACUUCCUGUGGACCACAGGAAGUUCCGUGUUAACGCGAGGAAGAGCUUAAUGAGUGUCAGAGUGACGGAGCACUGGAUCAGGUUGCCCUGAGAUGUUAUGGUGUCCCUUUUCCUGGAGAUAUUCAAGACCCAUCUGGACACCUAUCUGUGUGACCUGCUGUAGGGAACCUGUUUUAGCAGAGCAGUUGGACUCAUUGAUCUCUAGGAGUACCUUCCAACCCCUACAGUUCUGUGAUUCUGUGUGAUUCUGUGGUUAGUAGGCAAGAACAACCAAUUUACACUGCGGAAGAAGGGAAUUAUUAGCUGAAUUUCAGCAAAAAACCUGUACAUAAAUGCUGGAUGGAAUUGAAAAAAAUGAGUACCGUGAUUUAGUACCUGCAUACAAAGAUGCUCUUCUUCCAUUUUAAUAUUUGUGAGGUAUCCAUUAAAACUAAGCACGGAAAUAAAGUGAAAUUACAGCCACACCUUUGAAUCAUUGGGUCACACAGUGUUAAACAGAGAUUCUCAAAAAUAAUGAACCGUAUUCAAUCACACUGCUCUCACCAGUAUUAUUAAUAUGUUUGUGAUAACAAUUUUUUUGCAUUAUUAAGAAAUAAAACAUUAUUUCGUCUUCAUUUCUAUUUUUGUAUGUUUUUUAAUGUAAAUGCAUGUGUAUUUACACUUACAAGGUAAGUACAAUACGUACAUAUUUACAGUGGCGCAAUGAUAUACUUAGCAGUAAAUAAAUGUACAUACGUUGGGAGUUGCAUGCUUAAAAACUUCUUACUGAUAGGCGUGCACAAUUAAAAACAUUUAGAGACCACUGUCCUAGACAACCAUAGAUGGCAUUACAAUAGUUGUACGUUCUAACUAC